AGAGGAAAACUUUUGGUUACUGCUAAUAAUCUUUUGUCAAUUUAGUUUGGCUUCCUCUU
rnacentral:tRNA from 1 species